GGUCCCUUCGUCUAACGGCUAGGACAAAAGAUUCUCAUUCUUUAAAUAGGAGUUCGAUUCUCCUAGGGACUG
rfam:Treponema sp. CETP13 contig447, whole genome shotgun sequence.